GGAGCAUGUGGUUUAAUUCGAAGCAACGCGAAGAACCUUACCAGGCCUUGACAUGCAGAGAACUUUCCAGAGAUGGAUUGGUGCCUUCGGGAACUCUGACACAGGUGCUGCAUGGCUGUCGUCAGCUCGUGUCGUGAGAUGUUGGGUUAAGUCCCGUAACGAGCGCAACCCUUGUCCUUAGUUACCAGCACGUUAUGGUGGGCACUCUAAGGAGACUGCCGGUGACAAACCGGAGGAAGGUGGGGAUGACGUCAAGUCAUCAUGGCCCCUACGGCCUGGGCUACACACGUGCUACAAUGGUCGGUACAAAGGGUUGCCAAGCCGCGAGGUGGAGCUAAUCCCAUAAAACCGAUCGUAGUCCGGAUCGCAGUCUGCAACUCGACUGCGUGAAGUCGGAAUCGCUAGUAAUCGUGAAUCAGAAUGUCACGGUGAAUACGUUCCCGGGCCUU
rnacentral:rRNA from 1 species